GAUGGAUGGGCCUUCUUGAAGAAUUCAAAUGCGCUGGGAAAUUUAUGCUUGUCCACCAAAUGCUGUUGCCUACUUUUGUAGUUCUUGAAUUUCAAAGCACAACCUUCCACCAGGCAUUCAUACAUGGCAUAGCCACGUGCAGCUUUUGCCUGAAAAAAUGAAUCAUGUGCUUCAGAUACAUGUAUGCUGAGCAGGGGAGCCGUUGGGUAAACUCUAGAGCACACCGAACAGGA
rnacentral:misc_RNA from 1 species